UUUUCAUCAGACAAUCUGUGUGAGCACUNNNNNNNNNNNNNNNNNNNNUUCUUUAAGGUAAGGAGGUGAUCCAACCGCAGGUUCCCCUACGGUUACCUUGUUACGACUUCACCCCAGUCAUGAAUCACAAAGUGGUAAGCGCCCUCCCGAAGGUUAAGCUACCUACUUCUUUUGCAACCCACUCCCAUGGUGUGACGGGCGGUGUGUACAAGGCCCGGGAACGUAUUCACCGUGGCAUUCUGAUCCACGAUUACUAGCGAUUCCGACUUCAUGGAGUCGAGUUGCAGACUCCAAUCCGGACUACGACGCACUUUAUGAGGUCCGCUUGCUCUCGCGAGGUCGCUUCUCUUUGUAUGCGCCAUUGUAGCACGUGUGUAGCCCUGGUCGUAAGGGCCAUGAUGACUUGACGUCAUCCCCACCUUCCUCCAGUUUAUCACUGGCAGUCUCCUUUGAGUUCCCGGCCGGACCGCUGGCAACAAAGGAUAAGGGUUGCGCUCGUUGCGGGACUUAACCCAACAUUUCACAACACGAGCUGACGACAGCCAUGCAGCACCUGUCUCACGGUUCCCGAAGGCACAUUCUCAUCUCUGAAAACUUCCGUGGAUGUCAAGACCAGGUAAGGUUCUUCGCGUUGCAUCGAAUUAAACCACAUGCUCCACCGCUUGUGCGGGCCCCCGUCAAUUCAUUUGAGUUUUAACCUUGCGGCCGUACUCCCCAGGCGGUCUACUUAACGCGUUAGCUCCGGAAGCCACGCCUCAAGGGCACAACCUCCAAGUAGACAUCGUUUACGGCGUGGACUACCAGGGUAUCUAAUCCUGUUUGCUCCCCACGCUUUCGCACCUGAGCGUCAGUCUUUGUCCAGGGGGCCGCCUUCGCCACCGGUAUUCCUCCAGAUCUCUACGCAUUUCACCGCUACACCUGGAAUUCUACCCCCCUCUACAAGACUCAAGCCUGCCAGUUUCGAAUGCAGUUCCCAGGUUGAGCCCGGGGAUUUCACAUCCGACUUGACAGACCGCCUGCGUGCGCUUUACGCCCAGUAAUUCCGAUUAACGCUUGCACCCUCCGUAUUACCGCGGCUGCUGGCACGGAGUUAGCCGGUGCUUCUUCUGCGGGUAACGUCAAUUGCUGCGGUUAUUAACCACAACACCUUCCUCCCCGCUGAAAGUACUUUACAACCCGAAGGCCUUCUUCAUACACGCGGCAUGGCUGCAUCAGGCUUGCGCCCAUUGUGCAAUAUUCCCCACUGCUGCCUCCCGUAGGAGUCUGGACCGUGUCUCAGUUCCAGUGUGGCUGGUCAUCCUCUCAGACCAGCUAGGGAUCGUCGCCUUGGUGAGCCGUUACCUCACCAACAAGCUAAUCCCAUCUGGGCACAUCUGAUGGCAAGAGGCCCGAAGGUCCCCCUCUUUGGUCUUGCGACGUUAUGCGGUAUUAGCCACCGUUUCCAGUAGUUAUCCCCCUCCAUCAGGCAGUUUCCCAGACAUUACUCACCCGUCCGCCACUCGUCAGCAAAGCAGCAAGCUGCUUCCUGUUACCGUUCGACUUGCAUGUGUUAGGCCUGCCGCCAGCGUUCAAUCUGAGCCAUGAUCAAACUCUUCAAUUUAAAAGUUUGAUGCUCAAUGAAUUAAACUUCGUAAUGAAUUACGUGUUCACUCUUGAGACUUGGUAUUCAUUUUUCGUCNNNNNNNNNNNNNNNNNNNNGA
rnacentral:rRNA from 1 species